GUCAGUGCCAAAUCUCGCCCCCCGCCGCCUGCGGGACCCGAACCGGCGUCUUGAGAGAGCCCGGCCCUCCUCCUUCCUCUCUCGCUCGGCGCCCGCCGUGAGCGCCGCCCCGAGGCCCAGCCCGCGUCUAGAGCAGGCGGCGGCCAGGCGGUGGGGUCGAAGCGACUGCACAGAGCCGUGUCUGAGUCGCAGAGAAGCCUUGGCGGAGGCGGAAGCGGAAGCGCCGGGCCGGGCCGCGCCGGGCAGUGUGUGACCCUGGGAAGCACGACCUUCCCCGGGUUCAAGUCGUUCCCCUUCCAGCCCCUGGCGAGGUGGACUCUGAGCAUCUGUGUAGCCUGGAUGACCUUGCCCCGGAGGAGCCGAGGUGGGCACGCCAGGAGAGGCCCCCAGGGAUGUCAUGACGACCCGAAUCGCGGAAUCAUGUAGUCUCUCCUACCGCGGAACAGUUCACGAUGAAAAGGAACCAUUCGUGUUCAAAGGGCUGAUUGUCAGCAUAGGCAGAGCCCAGAACCACACGUGAAAAUUUACUGGAAAAACAGGGAGCCUGGGACUGGGGAUGGGGGACAAAGGGGACUUUAAUUGGCAUUGUUUUGUUUCUGUUCUAUGGAAGAGGCAGAGGUGGGGGACUGGGAACAUGAGUGCCUAUUAGGAUGCUGUAUACUUUUUUGGUAAACCUUUUAUUUUCUUUAAAUUAAAUAAAGGGGGGAAUUAGGUACCCCUGUUCUUGUUUGGCCUGUGACCACAGCAUCUGUUCCAGGAGAGAGGCGAGUGUGCAUGGGUGGGGAAAGAGAAGCCCUUCUCUCAGGCAGGGAUCAUGCUCACUGGGGACAGCCACCCAGCCACCACGGCCAAAUUAAGUCUUAUUUGUGUGUAGAAUUGUUUGUUUGUUUGUUUUGUUUUUGAGAUAGAGUCUCGCUCUUCCCAAGCUGGAGUGCAAAUGCAAUGGCACGAUUUCGGCUCUCUCCAACCUCCGCCUCCCAGGUUCCCAAGUACCUGGGAUUACAGGCACCUGCCACCUGCUCCUGGCUUAUUUUUUGUAUUUUAAUAGAGAUGGGGUUUCAUCAUGUUGACCAGGCUGAUCUCAAACUCCUUACUUCAGGUGAUCCACUGCCUCAGCCUCACAAAGUGCUGGGAUUACAGGCGUGAGCCACGUGUCUGACCUCCUCUUUAUGCUUUUAAAAAUUCUCUGGACUCCGCGGGGUGAGGUGGCUCAUGCCUAUAAUUCCAGCACUUUGGCAGGCCAAAGCGGGCGGAUCUCUGGACCCAUCAACUAUUGAUGCUGGAAAAACUGGAUAUCCACAUGCAAAAGAAUGAAGUUGGACCCUAACCUAGCACCAUAUACAAAAAUUACCUCAAAAUGGAUUCAGGACAUAAACAUAAGACCUGUAACUAUAAAAAUCCUGAAAGAAAACAGGGGGAAAGGCCUACAACAUUAGAUGUGGCAAUGAUUUUUUUUGAUAUUACAGCAAAAGCAAAAAUAGACAAAUGGGACUACAUCAGACUUUAUAAAAACUGCACAGCAAAGGAAACAACAGAAUGAAAGGCAACCUGUGGAUGG
rnacentral:lncRNA from 1 species